rnacentral:rRNA from 1 species
AGUGAACGCUGGCGGUAGGCCUAACACAUGCAAGUCGAACGGCAGCACAGUAAGAGCUUGCUCUUACGGGUGGCGAGUGGCGGACGGGUGAGGAAUACAUCGGAAUCUACUUUUUCGUGGGGGAUAACGUAGGGAAACUUACGCUAAUACCGCAUACGACCUACGGGUGAAAGCAGGGGAUCUUCGGACCUUGCGCGAUUGAAUGAGCCGAUGUCGGAUUAGCUAGUUGGCGGGGUAAAGGCCCACCAAGGCGACGAUCCGUAGCUGGUCUGAGAGGAUGGACACCCACAGUGUACAUGAGACAGGGCACAGACUCCGACGGGAAGCCGCAGUGGGGAAGAUUGGACAAGGGGCGCAAGCCGGAUCCAGCCAUACCGCGUAAGUGAAGAAGGACCUCGGGUUCGAGAGCCCUGUAGUCGUGAAAGAAAAACAGCACGUUAAUACCCCGCUGUUCUGACGGUACCCAAAGAAUAAGCACCGGCUAACUCCGUG